GAUGAACGCUGGCGGCGUGCCUAAUACAUGCAAGUCGAGCGAAUGGAUUAAGAGCUUGCUCUUAUGAAGUUAGCGGCGGACGGGUGAGUAACACGUGGGUAACCUGCCCAUAAGACUGGGAUAACUCCGGGAAACCGGGGCUACUACCGGAUAACAUUUUGAACCGCAUGGUUCGAAAUUGAAAGGCGGCUUCGGCUGUCACUUAUGGAUGGAACCGCGUCGCAUUAGCUAGAUGGUGAGGUAACGGCUUACCAAGGCAACGAUGCGUAGCCGACCUGAGAGGAGGAGCGGCCACACUGGGACUGAGACACGGCCCAGACUCCUACGGGAGGCAGCAGUAGGGAAUCUUCCGCAAUGGACGAAAGUCUGACGGAGCAACGCCGCGUGAGUGAUGAAGGCUUUCGGGUCGUAAAACUCUGUUGUUAGGGAAGAACAAGUGCUAGUUGAAUAAGCUGGCACCUUGACGGUACCUAACCAGAAAGCCACGGCUAACUACGUGCCAGCCGCCGCAGUAA
rnacentral:rRNA from 1 species